rnacentral:lncRNA from 1 species
AGGUAACAUGCCUGAUUCUGGUCUCAACAAUGCUUAUUCAAGUUGUGAUCUUUUACUUCUCAGAACCUCGAGAGAGCUUGAAGGUGAAUGGUUGGAUUAUAUCUCUGAACAGUACAAUGUUCCUGUUGUUCCUGUUGGGUUGAUUCCACCUUCUAUGCAGAUAAGAGAUGAUGAAGAGGAAGAGAACAAUCCUGAUUGGGUGAAAAUCAAAGGGUGGUUGGAUUCAAGAGAAUCAUCUUCUGUUGUUUACAUUGGAUUUGGGAGUGAGUUGAAGUUGAGUCAGGAAGAUUUAACUGAGUUGGCUUAUGGAAUUGAGCUUUCUGGGUUGUCUUUCUUUUGGACUUUGAAGAAUCUGAAAGAGGGUACACUUGAAUUACCUGAAGGAUUCGAGGAAAGGACGAAAGAACGCGGAAUUGUUUGGAAGACAUGGGCACCUCAGCUUAAGAUCUUAGCUCAUGGAGCAAUUGGUGGAUGUAUGAGUCAUUGUGGUUCUGGUUCUGUUAUUGAAAAGGUUCAUUUUGGCCAUGUUCUUGUGACACUGCCUUAUUUGCUUGACCAGUGUUUGUUUUCAAGGGCAUUGGUGGAAAAGGAAGUGGCUGUUGAAGUACCAAGGAGUGAGGAAGAUGGGUCUUUUACUAGGGACUCUGUGGCUCACUCAUUGAGGUUGGCAAUUGUGGAUGAGGAAGGAAGUAGUUUCAGGAACAAUGCUAAAGAGUUGGGGAAGGUUUUCAGUUCAAAAGAUAUUCACAAUCAAUAUAUUGAUGACUUUAUUGCUGCUCUUUACAAGUAUAGGGUUCCUUCCAAUUCCAACAACUAAGUAGACUAGUAAUUUUGUAUCAUGUGUUUCCCUUCUUCUCAUAAUCAAUAUAUUUAUUGUGAUUUUUGUUUUGCAAUAAAAGGUUUUAUUUUAGUUUCCUUCUUCUCAGUUUUGUAACAAAAAUGUUAAUUGGCCAUCCUUCUAUAUCUGAUUUGUGAUAUGGCACUUUUUUUUACAAAAAAUUGUAUCUCUAGACUAAUCAUUCUCUUAAUUUCAUAUUGGUGAAAAUUGCUUCAAAGGACUGUAGUUGAUUAUCAAGUAUCAACUUCUGCAUUUGCAUAUCACAAACUUGGCAGCAGAAGUAGACUAGAAUUCAAUUAUGUGGUAUGAAAGUUUUACAUAAAUAAAGAUCAUAAAUGGUAUGCAUGUUUGAACAAAAUAACCAGAUCAUAAACCAAUUUUUUUUUUUUGUCAUUUUGUACACUUGUGACAUUGUGGUUGGCCAAUGUCGUCAGAUGACAUUGACACCCCAAUGUCACCCAAAUGUUUUCCGAAAAUGUGUUGGUGGGUAGAAGAAAUUCUAAUCUCUACCUAUGCUAUUUUGUAUUUAAUUCUUGGAUUCAUGAAUGUAAAAAAAAAAAUAUUACUAAGGAAGAAAAUUUACCUCUUAGUUAGAUGGCAAAAGAUGCUCUUAAUAUUCAACUGAAGUGCAAAUAAGAAAUUCAAGAACAGAUAUAAAUAAAUAAUAUAAAUCAAAACAAGGCACUUUGAAAACGACAACAAAAAAUUUGCUAAACUUUAAAAUUAAAAAAUUCUUAAUUGGCUCCCUCAAAAAAAAAAAAAAAAUUCUUAAUUGGCUCUCUAAACUUUUAAACAAAUUGUAAAUGGUCCCUACCUACAACAUAAUUAGCCCGAAGUUAAACAAGUACAUUGUUCACAAGUCAUAAUUCAACCGUUAAGAAUGUUGAAUUUUUUAGGUCAAACCUCAUGGUUUGAAUCCUGAUUUCUUUACUUAUAUGUGUGUCUAAUAAUUUUCAUUUCGUUUAUGAAAAAUAAAUAUAACCAAGCUAACAUUUAUUAUUAUUUAUUAUUUUGUCUUUCAUUUAUAUUCUUGCAUAAAUUUUGAUGAAGAGUUUUGACACUCAUCUCGGUUCUACCCAAUUAUUAUUAUUAUUGGUGCGUGUAGAUGAUAUCCGAUUCAGACCGCAGACUUGCCUAACCCCUAAAUAAACAAACAAAUGUGUGUCUCCUUGACUUACUCGUGCACAAUUUAGCGGAAUAAAUUAGUAGAUGCGCGUUUCGCAUGCCACUACCAUCCAUUUCUAUUUCUUCCCUAUAAUAAUAUGCCAUCAUCCUUCAAAAAAAGAAUAUGCCAUCUUUUUCAUGUAUUGCAGCAACAACAUUCAUUCAUUCAUGGAUAACAAGAAAAACAAACCUCUUCAUGUUGUCAUGUUUCCAUGGAUAGCCAUGGGACACAUGUACCCAUGUUUUGAGGUUUCCAAGAUUCUUUCACAAAAUGGUCACUUUGUCACACUCAUAUCUACUCCUUCAAUCAUAGAUCGUCUUCCUAAACUCUCACAAACCCUUUCACCAUUUUUUAAUCUCAUCAAACUUCCCUUAUCAUCUUACAUUGACAAAAACCAUCUUCCAACAAAUGCAGAUUCAACCAUGGACAUUCCCUCCAACAAACUCUAUUACCUUAAACUAGCCUAUGAUUCUCUUCAAGAAUCUGUAGCUGAGAUACUCAAAACUUCAAAUCCUGAUUGGGUUUUCUAUGAUUUUGCAGCUAGUUGGUUACCACAGUUAGCAAAAGGUUUGAAUUUGAACAUAUCAUGUUGUUAUUUCAGUCCUUGUCCUGCAUGGAGCAUAUGUUUCUUUGAUACACCAAAAAAACAACUUGGUGAUGAUUCUGCAGCUAUUAGAACAAAUGCAGAAGAUUACUAUGGUCCACCUAAAUGGAUUUCUUUUCCUACAAAGAUUGGUUUAAGGCCUUAUGAGGUAAGAAAAUUGCUUGAAGAUAUCAAAGUUAAUGAAACAGGGGCUUCCCCUGUUUUUGAUCUAAACAGAGCAAAUUCAGAUUGUGACAUGUUUGUUAUUAGAAGCUCAAGAGAUCUUGAAGGAGAAUGGUUAGAUUUUCUUGGUGAGUUUUACAACAAGCCUGUGAUUCCUGUUGGAUUGCUUCCACCAAGAAGAGAUUCUUCUGAUGAGGUAGAAGAUAGUCCUGAUUGGAUUCAAAUCAAAGCAUGGUUAGACACACAAAAGAGUUCAUCUGUUGUUUAUAUUGCAUUUGGGAGUGAGGUGAAAUUGAGCCAAGAAAAUCUCAAUGAAUUAGCUCUUGGGAUUGAGAAUUCUAAAUUACCUUUCUUUUGGGUUUUGAGAGAUUUGAAAAAUGGUUUUGUUGAGUUACCAAAUGGGUUUGAGGAUAGGACAAAAGAUCAUGGUAUAGUGUGGAAAAGUUGGGCCCCACAACCUAAGAUCUUAGGUCAUGGUUCAGUUGGUGGUUGUUUGACUCAUUGUGGUUCAGGUUCAAUGAUAGAAAAUCUUUAUUUUGGACAUGUUCUUGUUAUGUUGCCUUUUUUAUUGGAUCAAGCUUUGUAUUCAAGAGUAAUGCAAGAGAAGAAAGUUGGAAUUGAGAUAGUGAGGAAUGAAGAAGAUGGAUCAUUUACAAGGAAUUCAGUUGCUAAGGCAUUGAGAUUUACCAUGGUUGAUGAAGAGGGAAGUGAUUAUAGGAAGAAUGCUAAAGAGAUAGGGAAGAAAUUUAGUAACAAGGAGCUUCAUAAUCAAUACAUUGAAAACUUCAUUUCUUCACUUCAAAAUCACAAUUCAUAGGAAUGUUUAGAAGUAAUUAAGUAAACAUUCAUUUGAAUUGAAAUAAAAACCUUUGAUUCAACUUGUGGAGAUAGGACAAAAAGGUUGUUAUUUGUUUGUGUGUAGGGCAUAUCUGUUCACUUGCCUCACCUUAAUUCUUUCAGGUCAUUGCCAUUAAUUUCUACAUUUGACCAAUUUGUAAGCAUCAGCCCUUUAGAAAUUCAAUAUACAUAAAUUGGUGGGGUGAAUCAAAUCUAAAAUUUUAGUGUGAUACAAAUUUGUAUUCCUUCCAAUCACAUUUAUAAUCAAAAAACAUUUUCUUAGGUUUAUUGAAUGAAUAGUCAAUGUAUCUGGUCUAUAAAUAUGAUCAGAUACAUAAAUUAUUCAAUGAAUCUAAAAUAUUAUUUUUUAGUUAUAAAUGUGACGGAGGGAGUAAUUUCUUCAUAUAAUAUUCUUGUUGAAUGUGAAACUUAGUCGAUGAUUCGGUUAAUAGUCUUAUUAACGAUUCACUUUUUCUUAAAAUGAUUAAGCCGGUAUAAAUGAAUUUCGUCUCUAUGCUAUGAGAUUUUAACUACUUCAAAGAGUAUUAGUUCUUCAAACGAUUAGGUCAAUAGAAAAGAACUGCGUCAAUGCUACGAGUCCUUUAACUACUUCAAAGAGUAUUAAAUGGGGUAAAUAAUUUUAAGAACUAAAAUGCGAAGAAAAAUAUAAGUAAAAUGUUAGAGGCAUAUAAACAUAAAAUAAGUUGUUUGAUUGAUUGAGUGUGUCGAUGGUAAAAUUUACAAGUGAUAGUUACAAACCAAGAUACUAGAGUCUAUAUGCUAUGAGAUUUUUUUUUUGUGCUAAAAAAAAAAAUUUACAAACCAAGAUACUAGAGUCUAUGUCCUAUCAUCCAUGAUCUUGACCAACUAAAAUAGUGCCCUCAUUUCUCUCAAAAAAAAAAAAAAUAGUGCCCUCAUCGUUACUCGACUAUAUAAACUAUAGUCACAUGAUCGUGUGCAUGCUUCCUAAAAAAAUUGUUGUGGGGAUUAUCCCUUAUUUUCUUAAAUAAAUAAAUUUAAUGACAAGAAGUGGACGAUAUUAAGUCCUCUAAAAAAAUGGACGUUAAGGAUGAAUUAUUGGCAUGCUCUGAGUUAGAACCCUUCUUAUUGCAGCAAUGACUAGAAUGACUCUUUUCAGAGUCAAGUUAAAAUCAAUUUUAACACCUUCAAAACAAUUAUACAUAAGUAAAAAAAUCAAUUUUGACACCUUCAAAAUUGAAACAUACUUGAAGAAUAAGUUUGUGUCUAAAAAACAAUUUUAGAAUCAAGAGAUCUAGAUUCUUGCUUCAAGUUAAAAUUAAUUCUCCAAUUCUAAAUACAAAAUCAAUUUUUCAAAAAGAGUAACCAACAACAACAUCAACAAUCAAGUCUUUUUUCAUUAAGUGGGGUCGGCUACUUCAAAAGAGUAAUCAAAUAUAUCAAAAUCUAUUACUCCCUCCGUCCCUAAUUAUAAGAUCCUUUGGAGAAUUUUUUUUGUCCCUUUUUAUAAGACCCCUUUGUUAUUUCCAACUACAUUAAUUAUUUCUUUACAUACAUGCCCCUAUUUAUUAUACAUCUUUUUCUUCAAUCAGCAAUAAGUAGCAUAUGGAAAACAUAAACUAACUCUCUCUCUUAAGGAUAAAAUUGUAAAAACAAUAGUGAUUACAAACAACUUUAAUACAAAUAUCCGCUUUCUUAAUUCCCGUAAUUUUAGCAAAAGAGUCUUAUAAUUAGGGACGGAGGGAGUAUAAAAUUUAUCCCUAAUAAUCAAACCAAACAUAGUUGAAUAUACUCCAUCCGUUUCAAAAUGAGUGUCACUUUAGCAAAAAAAAAAUUGUUUCAAAAUGAAUGUCACUUUGCAUUUCCAAUACAACUUUAAUUUUUUUCUCCCAAUUUUACCCUCAAUAAAUACUUCAACUUUUCUCUUAAACAAUUUUCAAUGCAACUUUAAGUUUGUCUUUUUCUUGUGCAGUUUAGUAAAAGUGUCAUGGCUAAUGAUUAUUUUAUUCCAUUACUUAAUUUGUGUGCAAUUAACUAAAACGACAUUCAUUUUAAAAAAGAUGGUGUAAAUUUCUUGCGGUCAACAAAGGCCGCAUUCACGACAUUAUUGAUCGUUGGGUCGAGAUUAGAUUUCUAACAAUUUUUUUUUUAUUUUUAAAAAACUACUGAAAUCUAAUAUUUAAUUUCUGCAAUGCUGGAUCUUGAUAUAAUGGUCAUCAAUGUUAGAAUGGUUUUUUAUGACCGCAAGGAAUCCAUAUUUUACAUAGUCACCGUAAUAUUGACUUCAACAACGUUAGAAUUUCUCAGCAAACAGCCAAGCACCACCACGUGACAAGAGAGAAGAACCAACACCAACAGUGAAAGAAUCAAUCCCAAAAGGCCAAAACACAAUCUUCUUUCUAUUUUACACUAAAAUAAUCAUUGCAUGGCUCUCGUGGAAGAGCAUAGCCUCCUCGUGGAAAUAAAAUAACGUUGGAUUGGAUGUGUUUUUUACAAGUAAUAAUAUAUUUGAAUGCGUGUCACACGUGGCAGUGAUUGUUUAUACAAAAAUAACUUUAUAUUAAUUAAAAAAAAUAACUUUAUAUUAAUUAAGACUUCGACUGCUACUAUAUCUUCAACUCUUGCAUACUCUUCCUAAUCAUAUCUUCAACUUUUACAUAUUCUUUCUACUCAUACAUACCAAACAAAUCCAAGUCUCCAUGGGUUCAAUUGCUAAUGAAGAUAGCAACAAACCUCUUCAUAUUGUAAUGCUCCCAUGGCUGGCUAUGGGACACAUAUACCCUUACUUUGAAGUAGCCAAAAUUCUAGCUUCAAAGGGUCACACUGUCACCUUCAUCAACUCCCCUAAAAACAUUGACCAAAUGCCAAAAACACCCAAAACCAUUGAACCAUUCAUUAAAUUGGUAAGAUUGCCUUUACCACACAUAGAGCAACUCCCACCAGGCGCAGAAAACACUAUGGACAUUCAACCAAACAUGAACCGUUUCCUUAAGCAAGCCUAUGAAGGUCUUCAAGAUGAUGUUACUGAGAUUCUCAAAACAUCAAAACCUGAUUGGGUUUUCUAUGAUUUUGCAAGUGGUUGGUUGGCACCAAUAGCUAAAAGCCUCAACAUAGCUGCUGCUCAUUACAACAUAACACCAGCUUGGAACAAAUGUUUCUUUGAUCCACCAAAGGAUCAAGUCAAAACAAAUUUCAAACUUGAAGACAUGUGUGGCCCACCAAAAUGGGUUCCUUUUCAAACAACCAUUCAUCUCAAACCUUAUGAGAUUAUUCGAGCUUUUACAGCUCUUAGAAAUGAAUCAGGUGGAAUAGCUGGUUUUGAUCUCAACAAAGCUUAUUCGAGUUGUGAUCUUUUUCUUCUCAGAACCUCAAGAGAACUUGAAGGUGAAUGGUUGGAUUAUAUCUCUGAACAGUACAAGGUUCCUGUCGUUCCUGUUGGGUUGCUUCCACCAUCUAUGCAGAUAAGAGACGAUGAAGAGGAAGAGAACAAUCCUGAUUGGGUGAAAAUCAAAGGGUGGUUGGAUUCAAGAGAAUCAUCUUCUGUUGUUUACAUUGGAUUUGGGAGUGAGUUGAAGUUGAGUCAGAAUGAUUUAACUGAGUUGGCUCAUGGAAUUGAGCUUUCUGGGUUGUCUUUCUUUUGGGCUUUGAAGAAUCUGAAAGAGGGUACACUUGAAUUAC